UGCCACUUUGUUAUUUGCUGAUUAUUUUCUACAUUUAUGGAUUUGGGCCUUACUAUCUUUUUACACAGUUUUCCUUAAUCAUAUUCUUUAACCACAAAUGCAUUAUUUCCAUUUACCCACUCAUGAAUAACUUUAUUUCUCUAUAGAGGAUUAUAUCAAGGUCCUAGUCUAUAUGUGGUAUCUGAUGAGUUAUCUAUUAACUACUGUGAACUUCCAGUCUUCCCUUUGGUAAAUAGAGAUUAAUUGUAAUCCUGAAGUAAGGAGUUUUGGAACUUUUCAUAAUAUCCCUUGAAUGAGAAAAUUGAUGACUAGUGAAUGACUAGUUAACUAGAGUUAACUUUAGAAGUAGCUAUGUCCUAAAGUUACUAUGUUGUUUCUUGAAGUUAUAAACUUUAAAGUGUAAUUGGGAGCUGGGAAGAGUUGAUAAGGUAAAUGUAGAGAAUGCAGUAUGAGAUAUAUGUUCAUCAGGGUUUGUUACUUUUGAGUGGAUUUUUAAAUAAUAACUGGAGUAGAAAUAUGACUUUCCCUGAAUAAAUUAGACCACAUUUCCUGUGAUGAAUGCCUCAAAUUGUAGACAAGGCACUUUUUUCUUUUUGGAUGCUGCAGGCUUGUUGUCUAGAUAUUGCUAAGACAUAAUGUCUUGUCAUAACAUUUCAGCAGUUUCAGGAUGCUAAGACUUCUUUGUACUCUGCCAGUUUCUUGGACAAAUCGCUUGACUACUUGAUCUAGUUUUUUUAAUGCAUCUCAAAGCAUGAUAAUUGAAAGUAU